UUAAUUACGAUUAAGUCAAUUUUAUUUAAUAAAGUUUAUUAUACAGUCAAAGUGUAAGGCUUCCUUUGGAUGCAACUGGUUCUCAGUGUGUUGAUUUUUUUAGGUUAAAAAAAAUUGCAAUUGAAAUGUCAGUAAACGAAAGGCUGUUUGGAAAGCAUUCUUCAGGACGUUGAAAAUGCAUUUCACCUCACUGGAGGUUUAAUUCCAGACUGGAGCCUUUUGCUCUAGGAAAAAUUUAGCAACUUCAGUUGAUUUUUUUUCUCUUUUACCCAUAUAUUCUUCAGUUGCAUUCUUCAGGCUUUUCUGAUGUUUGGUUACCCUUCUUCUUUCCUUUCUCCUUCCCCUUCCUCUUGGGUUGCAAAUCAGUUUGGUCAAGGACCUCUUCCGGUUCCUCCUUCAUCCAGGUAAGACUCCUUCUCCUUCUUCCGUUCUUCAUUCCUUUUUCUGAUCGUUGAAAUCAAGGAGAAAUCUGAAGACCUACAUGCUCUAAUCAGAAGAACGUGGGUUCAAGUCCGUAGAAGCGCAUUAUUCUCCUAUUUAUGGAUUGGGCAAAAGAAGCCCAAGUCAUCAUCUCAUCACGUUCUCUUCCGAACUAAAAAACAAGAAACCAAGCAAACAUGUUCCCUUCUCUAAACUCAAUACGCCGGCAAAUCACGGCCCGAUGGCCUCAAAUACUCCACGCUCUAACAUGGACAGCACUGUUGGCGUCAGUGGUAAGCAUCGCAUCGUUUGCUUCGGAGAUGGCCUUUGUUUCAGCAAUAUCUCCGACAUCCCCCUUCUCUAAAUCCUGCAACGUUGAAGGGCUCGUCAGGAUUCCUUUAGACUUCCAAAGAGAUAAAAUUUGCUUGCCUGCUCAUUUGGUGAAGCGAUCCAAGGUGGACUUUUUCGUGCCCACCGUCUUCGCUGGCCUCGUCGUUGCUGGUUCCGCUUGUGUGGUUCGAUCUCUGGGACUGUGGGACAGUGAUUGAGAUUGGUUAAUCAUUAGCAGACUAGUAACUUUUUUUCUGAUUAUAUCUACAGGGGUUUCAUUGCAUCCCCAACAAAAACUGUGAAAAUAUAAAUACUUUAUCAAGGACUUGUUAUGUCUACGAGGGUUGAGGAUCACGUUUUUUCUUUUUCUUUUUUUUCAUUUGCUUCAAUUUUAAUUAAUUUUUGCAAUGAAUUUCUGAAAUGGUUUAAUUU